GCAGUCGUGGCCGAGUGGUUAAGACUAGAAAUCCAUUGGGGUCUCCCCGCACAGGUUCGAAUCCUGUCGACUGCG
rnacentral:tRNA from 1 species